rnacentral:rRNA from 1 species
AGUGAACGCUGGCGGUAGGCCUAACACAUGCAAGUCGAACGGCAGCACAGUAAGAGCUUGCUCUUACGGGUGGCGAGUGGCGGACGGGUGAGGAAUACAUCGGAAUCUACUUUUUCGUGGGGGAUAACGUAGGGAAACUUACGCUAAUACCGCAUACGACCUACGGGUGAAAGCAGGGGAUCUUCGGACCUUGCGCGAUUGAAUGAGCCGAUGUCGGAUUAGCUAGUUGGCGGGGUAAAGGCCCACCAAGGCGACGAUCCGUAGCUGGUCUGAGAGGAUGAUCGGCCACACUGGAACUGAGACACGGUCCAGACUCCUACGGGAGGCAGCAGUGGGGAAUAUUGGGCAAUGGGCGCAAGCCUGAUCCAGCCAUACCGCGUGGGUGAAGAAGGCCUUCGGGUUGUAAAGCCCUUUUGUUGGGAAAGAAAAGCAGCAGGUUAAUACCCCGCUGUUCUGACGGUACCCCAAGAAUAAGCACCGGCUAACUUCGUG